rnacentral:pre_miRNA from 1 species
AGGCGUGCCCGCAUCCGCCGACGAGGCGGUCGCCUCGUCGGCGGAUGCGGGCCGUGUG